rnacentral:rRNA from 1 species
GCAAGUCGAACGGUAACAGAGAAGUGCUUGCACUUUUGCUGACGAGUGGCGGAGGGAGAGUAAUGCUUGGGAAUAUGCCGUAUGGUGGGGGACAACAGUUGGAAACGACUGCUAAUAACGCAUAAUAUCUUCGGAUCAAAGUGGGGGACCUUCGGGCCUCACGCCAUGAGAGUAGCCCAAGUGGGAUUAGCUAGUUGGUAAGGUAAUGGCUUACCAAGGCGACGAUCCCUAGCUGGUCUGAGAGGAUGACC